UACGUAGGGGCCAAGCGUUGUCCGGAUUUAUUGGGCGUAAAGAGCUCGUAGGCGGUUGGGGAAGUCGGGUGUGAAAACUCCAGGCUCAACUUGGAGAUGCCACCCGAUACUGCUCUGACUUGAGUUCGGUAGGGGAGUGGGGAAUUCCUGGUGUAGCGGUGAAAUGCGCAGAUAUCAGGAGGAACACCGGUGGCGAAGGCGCCACUCUGGGCCGAAACUGACGCUGAGGUGCGAGAGCGUGGGGAGCGAACCGG
rnacentral:rRNA from 1 species